rnacentral:rRNA from 1 species
UACGUAGGUGGCAAGCGUUGUCCGGAUUUACUGGGCGUAAAGCGUGCGCAGGCGGUUAUGCAAGACAGAUGUGAAAUCCCCGGGCUUAACCUGGGAACCGCAUUUGUGACUGCAUAGCUGGAGUACGGCAGAGGGGGAUGGAAUUCCGCGUGUAGCAGUGAAAUGCGUAGAUAUGCGGAGGAACACCGAUGGCGAAGGCAGUCCCCUGGGCCUGUACUGACGCUCAUGCACGAAAGCGUGGGGAGCAAACAGG